rnacentral:rRNA from 1 species
GAUGAACGCUGGCGGCGUGCCUAAUACAUGCAAGUCGAACGCUGAAGGAGGAGCUUGCUCUUCUGGAUGAGUUGCGAACGGGUGAGUAACGCGUAGGUAACCUGCCUGGUAGCGGGGGAUAACUAUUGGAAACGAUAGCUAAUACCGCAUGACAACAGCUAUUGCAUGAUAACUGUUGAAAAGUGGCAACUGCUCCACUACCAGAUGGACCUGCGUUGUAUUAGGUAGUUGGUGAGGUAACGGCUCACCAAGGCGACGAUACAUAGCAGACCUGAGACGGGGGGCAGCCAGCCUGAGAGGGUGACAGGGCACAGAGUGCCUGGGAUAGGAGCAAGACGGCAACGUGGGGAAUGGGCGGAAAUCAGAGCGAGAUAGGCGGCAGGCUGGUAGAAGGAUGUCGGGUGCUAAAGGUCGGUUUUCAGGGAAGAAAGAGCGUGAGCGUGGAACGAUCAGACUGUGACGGUAACUGAUCAGAAAGCGACGGCUAACUACGUG